AUACGUAGGGGGCAAGCGUUAUCCGGAUUUACUGGGUGUAAAGGGAGCGUAGACGGAAGGCCAAGUCUGAUGUGAAAGCCCGCGGCUCAACUGCGGGACUGCUUUGGAUACUGCAGUGCUAGAGUGCGGAAGAGGUAAGUGGAAUUCCCAGUGUAGCGGUGAAAUGCGUAGAGAUUGGGAGGAACACCAGUGGCGAAGGCGACUUACUGGGCCGUAACUGACGCUGAGGCGCGAAAGCGUGGGGAGCGAACAGGAUUAGAUACCCUGGUAGUCCACGCGGUAAACGAUGAUUACUAGGUGUAGGGGGUAUCGACUCCCUCUGUGCCGCAGUUAACGCAUUAAGUAAUCCACCUGGGGAGUACGGCCGCAAGGUUAAAACUCAAAUGAAUUGACGGGG
rnacentral:rRNA from 1 species